UACCCUGUUGGGGGACCAAAAUAUUGCAAUUGACAAAAUAAGGGGUGGAUUUAUUAAAAUUCCUAACUAAAGGACUUCGGUCUUUUUCGUCCUUGACAAAUUUGAAAAUGAAAUCCGCGUCCCAAAGUACAUGCCUAUUUUUUUGUUGUCCUCGUUUUCGUGUUGUCCAAGACAAUUUGCUUUACACUUUGUUAUCCACCACAUAUACUCGGGACAAUUCUCUUUACACCUUGAUAUACACCGGGUUGAUAGCGAGGACAACAUGGACAAUUCUCUUUACACCUUGGUAUACACCGGGCUUGGCAACGAGGACAACAUGGACAACUCUGUUUACACUAAAUUAGCGCGAGCUGGACCUAUGUGCCCGUGCCGAUGGGCUCCACUUUACAAUAGCGCAAUGGAGAUUACAACCGAAUAAUACUAUUUUAAUGCACUACCCUUCCGAUAAAUAAAAAAAUAGAAGUUUUCUCCUAUUUCUUCAUUCCCGUUUCGUUCUUCGCCCAGUGAACUCUUCUGCUAAUCGAUGGAAGUUUUGAGAUGAGUAGAUUAGAAUUUGAUUGAUUAAUUUGGAGGAUUCAUUUUGUGCCUGAUUACCUUAGGAAUGAACGAUUUUGACUACACAAACAACGAUUACUUCUUCACGGUUUCAGGGUGUGUUCUUCCGGACUUAUCAGCUCCGUUAAAGAUUCGUGAUUGAUUGGUUGAGAUUAUUGGUACUUUGAGAUUUGGGGGUUUUCUAUUGGUACUUAGUAGAAAGCAUCAAUCGAAAAACUCAUCAUACCCACAGCUCGGAGGUGGGUGACAUGAGAACUCUCUUCAGAUCUUACUAGCUGGAAAGUAUCUCUUGCACACAUCGCGCACUUCUUCGUAAGAGUUGUUGAUUUUCCUUCUCAAUCCACUGCUGAUUUGUUCAGAAAUUGAGUCUAAUCUCAAAUAUUGUCUUCUUGAAAACUGAAAAAAUUUCUCGAUUCAGUAUUAAUGAGUUCCAGUUUGGUCAUCACUAGUUCCAAUAAAGGAUUGCCUUAUUGCAGGGGUGAGCUUACCUUGUCUAUAGUUGCAGUUGAUUAACAGGGCCCAAGUUUAUCUGGCUCAAGUCAUAUGUUGUGCGUGUCUGAGCCAAACGGGAAACUUUUGAGUUUGGCGUUGGCGCUUCGAGCAAAAUGGAAUUCCUCUGGUUCUAGAAUGUUUAUCUAACGCUGUCGGAAAUACUGUGAAUAAUGCACUGGGAGCCGUGUAUUAUCUUUGUAACUCUGUGAAUAAGUAAGAGAUCUUAAGCCUGAAGUCGUUGGGGGUAAAGCAUGGUACUCGACUUACUCUUGUGUUUUUGAGAUAAUGGCCUGGCAUCGUAAUCCUGUCUUCCAAUAUUUUGUAAUCUUCUUUUUUUAUUAGCUGCACAUAAACGUCAAUCAUUUGAUUUUUUAUCUUUGAUCCACUUAUGACUAAAUCUGAAUCUGUACAAGUGUGGUGGUGUAUGGUAUAACCCACCAUAAUUUUGUCUUGCACCAUAGUCUUGCUCUCUAUCAAAUGUCAGUGUAGUGCUACUUGUCUAGUUAAAGGAUGGAGUUUUAUCUGUUAUGUAAUCUUUUCUCCAGUUCUUCUUUGUUUUUGAUUAAUUCUCAACUGAAUCAUGAAGAUCUGAUUGAUUUC